GAUGAACGCUGGCGGCGUGCCUAAUACAUGCAAGUCGAGCGAACGGACGAGAAGCUUGCUUCUCUGAUGUUAGCGGCGGACGGGUGAGUAACACGUGGAUAACCUACCUAUAAGACUGGGAUAACUUCGGGAAACCGGAGCUAAUACCGGAUGAUAUUUUGAACCGCAUGGUUCAAAAGUGAAAGACGGUCUUGCUGUCACUUAUAGAUGGAUCCGCGCUGCAUUAGCUAGUUGGUAAGGUAACGGCUUACCAAGGCAACGAUGCAUAGCCGACCUGAGAGGGUGAUCGGCCACACUGGAACUGAGACACGGUCCAGACUCCUACGGGAGGCAGCAGUAGGGAAUCUUCCGCAAUGGGCGAAAGCCUGACGGAGCAACGCCGCGUGAGUGAUGAAGGUCUUCGGAUCGUAAAACGCUGUUAUUAGGGAAGAACAUAUGUGUAAGUAACUGUGCACAUCUUGACGGUACCUAAUCAGAAAGCCACGGCUAACUACGU
rnacentral:rRNA from 1 species